CAUUCAUUUCAAUUGAAAAUCUGGUAGAAGCAGUGCUCGACUCAGCAAAUGAUCCUCCACCAAGUCCAAUGUGCCUCCCUUUUUUUCUUUGAAUAAACUUAGAAAUGCAUUUUUGUUGAAUCACCUACGUGCGAAAAAUAAUAUAUAAGAAAAUAAAACAUUUGAAUAAUUUAAAAUAGUCAAAUAAUUUAAAACAUACAUCUUCAUCCGUUGUUGGACGUAAUUUUUGAAUUUCAUCACUUUUGUAAUAUUCAGACAAGUUUCUCUAUAAAAUAAGUAAUAAGCUAUGAGUAGAUCAAUAAACUACUAUUUAUGAACAUU
rnacentral:lncRNA from 1 species